rnacentral:lncRNA from 1 species
UUUUUUUUUUUUUUUGGUACGAUUGAAGAAAAAAUUUAAAAAAAAAAAGUAAGGAUCCAAUUGAUAAAUAUCUUCCACCAUCAAAAACCCUACAUAUUCAUUUUCAACGUUCUCUUAACGGUGGACCAUCUUUUGAGCCCAAACUCUUGAGGAGAAAUUAGAAGCAACAAAGAAAAUGUAGAUUGUGGGAGGUCUCAAAAUUAAAACCUCUCACUCACAUUUCCCAUCUCUGUACCAUCUAACUCAUCCCCUCCCCAUGUAGACAAGUGAUCUCCGCUUCAAAAUUCUUGAAGUAAAACCUCCAAGACUAUGGUCAAUCUUACAUAUAUGCUGUGCAAGUAGCCAUGCAAAAAGGAGAGGUUCCUUUAUGCUUGUUUGGUCUAAACACUAUGGCUAAUUAUCUUCAAGGGAUCAGUACAGUUGCACUCAUUUUCGUUGCCAGCAUUUCAAAAGUCAAUGCACUCCCAGAACAGCAUUUAUUUCUCGAAUAUCAGCCUCUUAAAUUCCAACGCACAAAAGAAAAAAAAUCAGAAUCUAAAUUCAGUAAUACAUUCUCCCUCCAUCCCAAAUUGAAUGUCCUUUCAACAUUCUCCCUAUCCGUCAUACAUGUUUCAACUUACACAGUCAAAUAUUCUAGAUUUUCCCCUGAUUUUAUGAUUGAUCACCAAUUAGAGGGGGAAAAAGCUUGAAAGUUGAUAGAAGUUAGUAUACCAUAGAUUGUAAUUAAGGACCAAAGGAAUCUUAAACAUUUUCAUUAAAAAAAAGGCCAAAAAUUCGGAAAAACCCUCUGUUCAUAACUAGCAUUUUAGGUCUUCACAAAAGAUUAUGAUACGAAAAAUUCACUGGUAAUCUAUCUAGAGGGCAUACCAGCUCAAUAGUCUGGAAAACAAAACAAAGAUGGACAAAGGAAACUCCACCCACUGUUUAUUACCAAAAGUUAAGCAGCUUGAGAGAGGGUGACCUUUCACGUCUCAGGUUGCAUCUUCUCACACUCUUCCCGAAUUGACUGGAAAAGGGCAGUCGACAAGUAUCGCUCUCCAAAGCUUGGGAACACAACCUACAGGUAUACAACCAUCACAUAAUUAAAUCAAACUGCUGAAGUGAAGAUAUUAUUCAACCGGUUUCCCAUGUUAAUCACAUAAUCUAUCGACUCCACAGGCAUUUAUGAGGAGGGUGAAUCAGCCAAUUUAAGACUGGAGGCUGCAGCAGAGGUUACCCGAGCCAUGGUUCAUCUAAUGUCAACCAUGGAACACAUAUAGUUUCUAUCAAUCUACAAAGCCAAUUGGAUGCCAAUACCAGAACAUAUAAUUAUAUUAACGAAGUAGUAAUAGUAGAGAAUGCUUGUUGAGAUCAGAAGUGAAGACUUAGUUCUGUCACCAAUGUAACUUAGCCAUUAGCCAUCUACAGAUUUAGCAUGAUGACUCUAAAAUAGAUCCAUUGUUCACCUAGUGAUGGAUUCAAAUCUAAAGUUGUUAUCUUUUUCUUUUAUAAAUCUGAACGAGUUCACUUUAGCUAUAACUAUUGGAUGAACCCAUAUAACCAAUGUCCCACACUGUGAUUGAGAAUUUAUUUUUGAUAAUUACCAAUAAAGACAAGCUUCACCAGACAGGCUACUUGAAUGUCUAAUAGAAUGUUUCAGACUCUGCAUUUAUCAAGAUUCCAAUCAGAUAUCAACAAAACGCCAGCUACAGUAAAACAUACCGCAAUAAGCUUUCCCUCAUUCUCAGGUCUCUUCCCAACUUGGAGGGCAGCAGCAGUUGCUGCCCCAGAAGAAAUACCAACCUGGUGGAAGGAGAAUAUUCAGAAUAACAAUGAUGCAAAUACUUGAACAAGUGAGAGACCAGGAUACAGGCAUGUUACAGGAAAAAUGAUCAGUUAGCUAUGUCAAAAAGGGAGAACAAAUCACUAAAAAGUAAUGUAGAAAAUACAACAUAGAUAGGCAUCAAGUACUUUGAGUAAAGUAAAAGCAAAAAGAUAAGUUUCUUCUUUGGCUAAAUAUUCAUCUGAAGUUCACUCCUAACAUCAUCUGAAUAUCAAUGGUUCUGCAUCAAAUUUGGAUAGCCGAGAUGCUGCACAAGUUCAUUGCAUGGGCAGUUAAAGCAGGUUGCCUAGCUUUGUUAAUUUAAUUUCUUUUAGACAUUGAUCGAGGGGAAGGAAAAGGCUAGCCAAAAGGAAUUGAACCAGCUAGUAGCAAACCUAGUUCUAGGACACAAGGCACAUCAUUGGGCAGUUGAGCAGGUUGGCUAGCUUUUUUUUAAUUUCAUUAUUCAUCUUUAACUUCAUCAUGAAGUCACAAGUAAAAUUAAACAUUUUUCUGCAUCUAAAAUUUAUGAGAAAUGUUCAUAAAUCUAGUUCAAAUUCACUUACCAACAAGCCUUCUUGAAGAGCUACUUGCUUUGCUGUUUCAAUGGCUUCAGCACUAUCUAUCUGGUGGAAACAAUAAAGUGAAUAGCAAUAAGGAACCAAAUAAAAAUAUGGAACCAUGAAGAAGAUGGUCAAACCAGAUGAACUACGUAUCAAAGUGCAAGAGAAAAAGUACGUGAUAAAAGAGAAUGGUGGUUCACUAGCAUAAAAAAGUCAUGGAUGGCAGAAAAAGCUACACUCAUCAGUAUAAAGAGACUUAGGAGACCACAUAAAUGGAAAACAAGAUAUUUCACAAACAAUGAACCUAAAAAUAAGAGUCCAGCACAUAUUAUCGUUUGAUGGGAGAUGAACUCAAGCCCUUAAACAGGAAACACCACCAAUAGAACAAGGGAAUAAGCAAAAUGGUCACACCAUAAUUUCAUGAAUACAGUUGCCACAGUUAACUGCAAAGCCAAGUGCAUAACAUAAUCUCCAAAGAAAUAUCCUCCAUCAAUUCCACAAUUAGACAUACAACACUGUUUUAAAACUUUAAACGAGCUUUGAAGGGAGGGUUUUGGAAGUUCAUUUUGUUUCACAUUCACCCUUGUGUUGAUGAUGUGGUUAAAUUUUGCAAAUGUGCAUCUUAAAUGUCUCCAGUCUUUUUGUGCAAAUAACAGAAUGUGCCCCUACUUUCCAGGUAAUGGAAGAAACACUCCAGACUAAGUGCAGUUAAACACAAACACCAGAGCUGGUACCAAAUUGGUUAUGCACGCACUACACUUUUGUCAAAUGAUAUCACUUGCAGGGUCUACUCUAGCUUUUCUAUAACAUUUUCAAUUUUCUAAAACAAUAUCUUCUGACUUUUUUCAAAUGUGCCUCAAGUUUGGACAUCACAAAAAGGAAACUAUGAGAUUAAAAUCGGAAAGAGCCAGCAUCAAUUCCCCAAUAAAAGCUUUCAGAAGAAAGCCCAUCCAAGGGCAACUUAUGCAUAAUAAAAAGUAUUGCAUCCAAAUCUGGGAGCGCAAAUAAUUUUGUUAUCCUCUUUUUCAGCUAUUACCUUCUGAAACUCCAAUAAAGAUUGGAAAAUUACGAAUUGAAAAUGAAAAUAAGUUUCAGGAAGAAAUCCAAAUAUCAACUAGACUAAACAGUUAAAGACUGGUAGGCCGUCUUGUAUUGAAUAGAACAUGGUAUCAAACAUCAAGAGUUUCAACUUGCAAAGCUCUAUAAAUCAGUUUUGCAUUAUCCCAUUGUUUAAGUGCUCACACAUAAAUCUGAAAGCAAUUAGUUCUUAGCUGAAAAAACCACAUAGACUUGCCCGUCUCAAAUUUCCUUUUCACCAGAUAAAUGCUUCCAUUGUAACCAAAAAAGAAAAGGACAAAAGCAGUAUUUUCACUUUUUUCUACAUGGCAGAAAUUUAGCUAGUAAGAGCCAUGUUACACAGGUACAUGGAAAAGUUUGAAAAUCAUGUGCUAUCAUCCUGUUGCCCUAAUUGUUGGGUUUCAUCCUCCAUGAAGCUAAACUCAUUAGCAGACCUUUCCAAACUUUUCUAAUAGAAUCUAAAUCACUCACACUCGGAUACUCUGAUAGUCGAUAUUUUGCAAUGGAGAUCAAUCCUCCUUUGAGAUAGAUUUCAACAUUAACUAAUCAACAAAAGGUCUAAUACAGAUUAAACAAAAUAAAAGUAACAUUCUGGUAAGCCAUUAUGAGAAAUCUAGAAGAUGAGUAAAGCAUUAUGAGAAAUCUGGGGUUAUACCGCAAUAACUUCAUCCAUCACUUCUUCAUCUAAAUUUCUUGGGAUAAAACCUGCUCCAAUGCCUUGAAUUUUGUGAGGGCCUGCACUUUCAAAUUGCAGCCACUAGAACAAAUACAAGAAUUAAAUCUCAAAUAAAAAGGAGCAUACGAUGUUAGCAUCUAGCUUACCAGGUUUGCCACCAGAGAGUAUGUUGCUUUCUAAGGGUUCUACUCCAAUAACCUGACUUCCACAUAAAAAUAAAUAAAAAAAAGAACAGAGAAUGAGAGAGAGAAAAUCUAUUGUGAGGAAAAUAUUGGUCAACAUUCCGUGAAACUGAGAUGCGUACUUUGAAAAUUUUUGGAGAAUUGCUACAGCUUUUAUAAAUUAAAUAGGUGACUUAAAUGAUAAAAAGAAAGGGGAUUUAACUGAGGUGGAUGUGUAUGAUGAAAAGGCAAACUUUCUAAAAUAUACCCACUUACCCAGAACUAAAGAAUAAAUGAAUAGAUGCCUACCUUAAUGCCAGGAUUUCUUUCUUUCAGAUACCGACCAGCACCGGAGAUCGUUCCACCAGUACCAAUCCCUGCAACAAGUAUAUCUACCUUGCCUCUUGUAUCUUCCCAAAUUUCUGGGCCAGUUGUAUCAUAGUGUAUCUGCAGAAGAUAAGACGCAUAAUCAAACUUUUAUCAGAAAUAUGAUGCCUCAAAACACACAAAAGAAGACCCCUCUGAUACUAUCCAGCUGCACGUGUCUGCAACACAUUAUAUCUUUUGUUUUCUUUAAGAAUGGGAAGGUGGCUGUUUCAAGGUGCCUCAUAACAAAAUGGAUUUUAAUUUCAAUUAUAAGUCCAAAGACUAGGGCUAUAGCCGACUGAGGUAACGUACUUCGUAAGACUGGGAAGGUGGCUGUUUCAAGCUGCCUUAUAACAAAAUGGAUUUUAAUUUCAAUUAUAAGUCCAAAGACUAGGGCUAUAGCCGACUGAGAUAACGUACUUCGUAGAGAGCAAUAGAUAAAGCAUGUCUGAUAGAACGAACUACAACUGAGCGAAUUGUGGACAAUUACCUUUGGAUUUGCAGGGUUAUCAAAUUGUUGAAGUAUAUAGGAAUUAGGAGUUUUAUUCCGAAUUUCUUCAGCUUUUUCAACAGCUCCUUUCAUGCCUUUAGCAGGAUCAGUUAAGAUAAGCUCAGCUCCAAAUGCUCUCAGUAGAACCCUCCUUUCAAGACUCAUAGAUGAAGGCAUUGUCAGUAUAAGCUUAUAUCCCCUAGAAGCAGCUAUAAAUGCCAAGCCAAUGCCUGUAUUUCCACUUGUAGCCUCAACCAAAAUACUCUGCAAUAAGAAAGGACAAGAAUGAUAAACAUCCCCUAUAACAAAGGUGUGAUAUUACCACCAAAUGCCAUUGGUAAAACAAGAACUUCAAAUGCCAAAAAUGUUCAAUGAUGGUAUAAAAAUACUUAAUUUCUUCAAAUGUUUCACCUCCCAAAGAAAAAAAAGAGAAAAACACAUACCAACUUUUCAUGUAACAAAAGAUUCAGUGGCAUCUAAAUUUUUAUAGCUGGUUCAGUAUUUUCUCCUUGUACUAAAAGGUGUAGAAUCUAGCAAACAACAAGAUGUAGAGAUCCUACAACUGCUGUGAGUGACUAACGUGCUUCAAAAAUUCCAUAAUUUUCAAAUCCAUCACCAUUAAAAAGAAAAAAAAGACUAUACCAGUCCUAGCCCGAGCUACAAAAAGUCAACUAUAUUCAUUCUUGUUUCAAAAGAGUCAAAAUACACAUCUAACACGUAGUCCAUCAGAAAGAUGGAUUUUAAUGUUAUCUCACCUUCCCCGGCGUAAUAACACCCUUCUGCUCUGCAUCAGCUAUCAUGCUGUACCCUAUCCUGAAAACAAGAGAAGUCUAUCAGGAAAAACAAAAUCAUCUUACACAUCUUUUUUCCAGCUAAAUGGGAUAUCCUCAAUAAUGUUUAAAGCAACAUUUUCCACAUACUUUAUCAUUCAUUCAGUUUGUAAACUAAGAUAAAAUUGCAAACAAUGAAAUUUUAAUCUCAGCAAAUGUUUCUAGGAGCACCAAGACGUUGUUCAUCCAGCUAAUUAAGAACAACUUAAAAUUUUCUAUGCUAGUCUUAAAAGUCAAAUAGGUCAGCAUGCUUAGUGGUCCAGCAUUUCUUCUAUCCACUAGAGUUGCCUAAAUCCUCAAGGUAUCAUUAGUUUCCUUAUGAACCCGCAAGUAUUACCAGAAAUUACAUAGGACUUAUCUGGAAUCUCCAUCCUGUUCCCUGCUAUUUUAACUGACAGUAGCUAAGAGAAUAUAUAAGUUAUCUAAUGGAAUUUAGACAGAAUGUAGAUCAUUGGAACAGAUAAUCUCUGGAAUUUCCUACUAAUCAGAGAAGUCCUAUUAGAGGGCAUCUUCCUGUAAGAACCAAAUUGCUGCUGUUUUAGAAUGACCACCAUGAAUCAUAGUUCAAUAUCAAUAUCAGAGUUACUUUAGGUCAAAAGAAGAUGAACAACGCUUUGUCUUGUAUAACAGUAUUUCAGGAUAACUGGGUUACCAAGUUCAGAUUUAUCCACUACAUGUUCCACUUAGGUUGAAAGAAGAUGUAUAACACUUUGUCCUGUAUAACAGCAUUUCAGGUUAACUGGGUUAUUAGUUCAGAAUUAUCCACUACAUUUUCCUCAGUUUCCAGAAAGAAACUAGUACAUAAUUAGAUUUAUUAGUUAGCUUACUACUUGGCAGUUGGAUGCAAGGAGUGAUUGCUGAAAUCUUCUAAUAUUACAUAUUUGCAUAGCCAUAUAAAUGGAAACUUACCUUGACGGUAAAUAAUGUUGCUAAAACAUUUUUUAAAUGACUCUGAUAACAGGCCCAUCAUGGAAUGAUUCUAAUGCCAAGGUGUAAUAAUUUGUAAUUACAGAUUAAAUUGUGGUCAAGGAUUGCAAGACAGAAGCUAUUAAUACUGGCGAGGAACCUGCAAUAUAGGGAGGCCUAAUUUGGAAAAACAAGGCAAACUCCUGAAACACAUUAUUUCUGAUUGUUUGACCACAAGUCCACUUACCUAUCCUUGACACUACAACAUGGCUCCAUAAUUUCAAGCUUUGCGGCUAUGUGUGCUACAGAGCCCUUUACAAUAUUAUUCAAGUACACCAUGGGUGUCUUCCCAAUUAGCUGCAAGACAAAAGAAAAGAAGUAAUAGGGCAUCAGAUGACACUUUAAGGCUGCUCAUAAUAUUCUUUUUUCUUUUCCUAAUGAUAAGAGAUACAUAAAUAAAUUAUACUAAAGUUACUAGAAAAAGCUGACAACUGCUGUAGUAAGAUAUGCAACGCAGGAGUUAGAAGCAAUGGAAAGGACACUAAAGCAGGAAAUAGGGAUGACAUUGUUCUCAAAGAAAGAUGAAAUCACCAAAUUUUUCACAUUAUCCAAAUUCUGACCAUAAGAUCACAUAGAUUCCUGCAAGAAAGAGCAGGAACAGGAAACUACAGAAGAGGGGAAAGGAGGAUAAUUUUUCUUUCACUUGGUAUAAAUAGAUAUCAACUACGAAUUUAUCAUUAUAUGCCAUAAUCAACCCACCCCAAACACCAAGACUGUAACCACAGUAUUAACGGUUCUUCUAGUUAAUAUUGACAAACAGUUAGAACAUAAAUAAUGAUUUACUCCUGCCAAGUUCAUAUCACUAAAUGCCACCAAGAUUCACAAUUUGGUGCCUUCCGAAGACUUCCAAAAUCAGACAUUUUGCUAAACAAAAUGUAAGAGAAUAUAAAGAAAGCCAGAUUAUAAUCAACUGAAAUUUGAAUGAAUUUCAAAUAAAGACUACAACUUGCAGCAUGCUUUUGACAAAAAAAACCACCCAAGACUGCAAUCCACCAAAACUUGAGGUAAGAUUGUGAAGCAAAAUAUCAGGUACAGAGAGACAAACCCUUCUAAUCAUAACAAUGUCAUAAAAUGAUAUUGCUAAAGACAUAUUUCACAAAAAAUAAACAACUACCAUUCGAUUGAAGAUGGAAGCAAAGAAAAUUAAUGCGCAACAACUUUCCAAUGAGAAACCAAGUUUGGAGAGAUACGCAACAAGGCAUCCAAUUUUUCAAUAUUGGUGUAAAUAUAGGGCAAACCUAAGAUUGGACCCAAUUUGAAGUGAACUUGAAAGCACAUUACUACGUCUUAAAAACUGAAUAAAAUCCAAUUUUAUCAAAAUUCUUCAACUCGUUAGCAGUUGUAACAACAGGAGAAUGACACGGAUAAGAUGACAACUAAAUGGAAUGGUAAAAGGUAAGAAGAAUAAAACAACAUUACAGAUGAGCAUUCAACUAGAACAAUCCAGGGGCAUAUGAUAGAGACGCGUAUAAGAUAAAACAUCCAAUUUUCAAAUAAUACUAAACAAAAAAUAAAGCUUUCUAAAUAGAACAAAAAAUCCGAUCACCAAUGAUGAUUUCUGCAUCUUUCCAUCACAGCCCAGAUGGAAAUUCAACUCAAAAGAAUCCAGGGAAAAGUAUACAUACCGUUAUAACACAUAAAAAUGCUUUUCUUUUCAUUUUUUUGAACAAAUAAAAAUAAAUAAAUUUAUAAAAAAAAAAAGGAGCCCAGAUGAAAAUUCAACAGAUAAAAUCCAGGGGAAAUGAUGGAAACCAACCUGGGUGACAUCUUCAGCUAUGUUAAGCCCUUCAACCUCUGUUACAGGCUGCUGUUCAAUGGAAACUGCUUGGCAGGUUACAGAAGAAAAAGAAGCCUUCUCUUUGUAGAACUUUUUGCUGGAAAUACUACUGGAAUUAACGUUCUUGAAGCUCACAGAAUUGACCCCAAAACGACCCCGUUGGGGCAAAGGAUUUUCUGGGCAAAAUUCAGACUUGGAAUUGCAGAGAGAAGUCAAGGGCUUGUUGAUUAAAAAGGAAGCCAUUGCUGUGAAUUCUGCCUCUCCUCUUCUUUCUUCCUUUUUCUUCCUUUCUUGUUCUGCUUAUCUUUUUCUUUUCUGAGGUUUCUUUGGGAUUUUUGUUCUUUUUCCACGUUGUUUUUGACUUUUCGGGAAAUAUCGGCUAUUGAGUGACGUGAAACGACAACGUUGUAAGGGGCCUAGUUCAACAUGUGGGGCCGGUUGAAAAGAUCCUCUCAAUUAAGGAUUGUGGUUCGUUACCAAAGUGGUAAAGAUCUUAAAAUUGCAAAUUGGGAGCUAGAAAUGUUAUAUAAUCUUUUCGACCUGAAAAUAAUUGUAGAAUCAUUUUAAGACGUUAAUUAUUUGAGUCCACCUAUAAAAAGCGAUUCUAAAAAUUACGAUAUUUUUAAGCCAUAAACUCAAACAGAAUAUGAGAAUCUCUAAAAUCAAGAAAGUAGGUUAUUCAUUAAUUUGUUUCUGUCGAUUAAACCGUAUCACACAUAAUAUAGGAUUUUCUUUUUUUUUUAUUUUCGAUAGAAAAGGAAAAUUUUAAGCAAAUAUAUUAUUCAUUUAAAAAAAUUUUCUCGAGGUACACUUGAAAUAUCACGGAAUAACUGUCGCUUAUGCCAAAUUAUUUAUUCCCGACUUCAAGAUUUUAUUUAUUUCCGACAUCAUCCAAACGGAGCCAUCACCUCAACAUCAAGAUUUCCGUAGUAAUUACCAUGCUUCUCUUCUUAGAUAAGAACAUAAAUGAUACUAAGAAAAGUUACUCACUCAAACUUGUACUUGAAUUUUUUUUUCCCAAGCAGCAUAGGCAGUAGACUACCAAGUUGGGGAUGUGGUGAAAAUUAACCAUGGUCAUUAUUCAGUCAUUAUAAUACUAAAUAGAGGACAAAUUUGAUAAAUUAGUAGUGCUUAAGGCAUAUUUAUUGAUUUAAAAGGGUAUGUUAGUGAAAAAGAAAGAUCUUUUGUCAUUGUGGGAAGGGAAAAUCGCCAAUUUAGUCCCUAAACUUUUUUUUUCCGUCAAUUUAGUCCCUAUACAUUAUUUAUAGCCAAUUUAAUCCCUAAACUUAUAUUUCGAUUCCAAUCAAGGAACUUAGCGGCGGCGCCACCUCAUAAUUUCCAUCGGCUUCCAGAUCUAGGAACCCAGAAGGGGUAUUUUAGGGACUUCCAUAUUUUUCAUAUUUCCCUUUGACUUUCAUCUUAUUUCUAUAUGGUCUUCACCUUCAACAACACCUCCCUCUCCUCUAUCACAUCAGAGCGUCUACUCCGGGCUAUGCAGAGCGUCUACUCCGUCCUCUGCUCCCUCAACCUCCAGGACAAGGUCUCCAUCACCACUGCCCACUCCCUCGCCGUCCUCCAGACCUCCUACCUCCCCUUCGCCUGCAGGUUCCACCCGGACCUCACCCCCUGCUUGACUGCCAUCCUCAACUUCCAUCUCAAGACCGGCUCCCCUUUCCUCAUCAAUGCCUACCCCUACUUCGCCUACAAGGCCAACCCCAAGCAGGUCCCUCUGGAGUUCGUCCUUUUCCAGCCCAACUCCGGGAUCGUCGAUCCCGCCACCCCUACUGUAUUUAUUCCAGUGUAAACAAUUAUAAUAAACCCCAGUUUCCUCGAAACUUUGUAAAAAAAUUAAAGAAUUUCCAUCUUUGCCUCCUCAUCAUCGGGAUGAAUUAUGCAGAGUUAUCUCCUUCAAAAGCUUGUUAAAGUGCUGGGAAGAAGAUCAAUGGGGUGCGUGCCAUAGCUGCUUUGGCAUUGUAUAAUGUAUAGUUCUAAUAUAUAGUAUAUCCAAAGCCUUACUCAUCAUUACGCACCACAUACAAUUUGUCUGGUGCUCAGCGAAGAAGGGCCGGCUUAGAUUAUGGGCGCACCAACUACGAAUGCUUUGCAAAGUUGAAUUCCUUCAGGAUUCCGCUAUUGGAAACCCGCAAGCGGGUUUCAGGCUAUUUAACAAAUUACUUAAAAAAAAAAAUUUUUUUUUACAUGCAAGCUGCGUUGAGUUGCACAUGCCCAUCGGAGGGCCCUAGGAUGCCCAGCAAACCUCCCCUCUCAUCCUCACCCUUCAGGUGAGGGUUUGAGAGUAUGUGUUUGAUAUAAAUAGAACAGAAACGCAGCUUUUAGUCAUUUUACAUAAGGGGGAAACCCGCAAGCGGGUUUCAGGCAGGCUAUUUAACAAAUUACUUAAAAAAAAAAAAUUUACAUGCAAGCUGCGUUCUUCAAAAGGGUAUUUUCGUCUAUUCACUCAGGAAACCCGCAAGCGGGUUUCAGGCAGGCUAUUUAACAAAUUACUUAAAAAAAAAAAAAUUUACAUGCAAGCUGCGUUCUUCAAAAGGGUAUUUUCGAGACCGGCUGGCCCUCCAAGGGGGACACCGACGAGGCCGGAGCCACUCCGGAGAAUGCCAAGAAGUACAACGGCAACCUCAUCAACAAGCUGGUGUGCGGGAAGAAGGGGACGCCCAUGAGGCCCAACGCCGACUUGAACAUCUAUGUCUUCGCCCUUUUCAACGAGAACAUGAAGUCCAGCCCAACCUCCGAGAGGAACUACGGCCUCUUCAAGCCGGAUGACUCCUCGGCCUACUACAUUGGCUUCAACAGCACCGGUCUCCUUUCCACUUCCUCCAAUACCUCCACUACUCCUAGUAGUACUGGUAGUAGCAGCAGCAGCAGUAGUAGUGUUCCUCUUGGCUCCUCCUCCUCCUCCGGUAGCACCACUUCUUCCACAGCAGUAGUAGUAUCAUAAGAUGAAAGUCAAAGAGAAAUAUGAAAAAUAUGGAAGUCCCUAAAAUACCCCUUUUGGGUUCCUAGAUUUGGAAGCCGAUGGAAAUUAUGCGGUGGCGCCGCCGCUAAGCUCCUUGAUUGGAAUCGAAAUAUAAGUUUAGGGAUUAAAUUGGCUAUAAAUAAUGUAUAGGGACUAAAUUGACGGAAAAAAAAAGUUUAAGGACUAAAUUGGCGAUUUUCCCUUGUGGGAAAUCCAAGCAAAUUAGUUAGAAUGUUCUUGUCAUAUCCUCCUACCAUUAUGCCUUUCACUUUUCAAAAAUGUUGACCUUUUAUCUUACUCUAAUCGCAAAGAAUAAACUUUUUUCCACAAGAAGAUUUCAUAGUCAAAAAUUAUUUGAUUAUCCCAAGACAAUCAAGUACUAUCAUCCUACCGUAGCAUAUUAUUUACAUUCACAAUGUCACAAUAAUGUUAAAUUAAAGAGGCCGAAUUGCUAAAAUAAAAUUGUUGAGGAUGAAAAAGAAAUUAAUGGCCAGUUCCUAGACGUGAUGAGCAAAAGCUUUUGCACAUGAACCAAAAACUUAAAUUAAAUUUUUGGGUUGCACUUUAGUCCUUAAUAUUUAAUUUAAUUCUCAUUUUUCCACACCAAGGAAAGCAUGUUAUUCGAUUAAAGUCAAACGACCACAUCCACACAUUUAUAUAGAGUCCCUUUCUGCAUGAAUAUGAGAAGACUCUAAAAUCGAAAUUGUUUUCUUGCAUCUCAUACAAAAAGGUGUCCAGAUACAUUUUUGCUUGACCAAAAAUUUGUAAAUCCAACUUAAUGGAGAGAAAAGAAUAUUCUCAUCAAGAAACACAUAAACCAAAAAAUCAAAUUUAUCAUUUAAGCAGCAUUUCUGAAUUAUAUUUUUACCCAUACCUUUUUGGAAGAAAAUUCAAAUUUAACAUUACCUUUUUACCAUGGCUUUUUUUUAAUAUAUAUAUAUAUAUAUAUAUAUAUAUAUAUAUAUAUAUAUAUAGACACUAUGGCAUGGUUUUGUUCAAAUUAACCUAAAACAAAGGUGCAUAGUUAAAUUCUAUAAAAUCAAAAUCAACAGCUUAGAAAUAAAUAAAGAGAUAAAUAAAUAAAUUUCAAUAUAUAAUUGCACAGGGCAUUUAGGUGACCCCAGACUAUAACAGAUACAUAAAGAAAUGGUUUAAUUAAAAAAAAUAAAUUAAAUUAAUUGCAAUAGCAAUAUUACAACAACAAUUAAUUGAUCAACAAAAAGGAAAACACUUAAAUAUGUAGUGCUUCUGAUAAUUGGACCAUGGACUCUGAUGAUCAUCUCUAGACUUGGAAUGGCUGAAAUGGAGAAGCCCACUUGCCCCUAUUUUCCCCACCAUCUUGAGCUCUACUCCCAUUGUUGCCUUCCACAAAGCCGUAGUAUCUGAGCACAAAUGCCAGAACCAGAACCAACCAUUCCAAGCAGAAGAUGGCAAUGGACAACCCUCCAGCCAAUUUCAGAAUCACAGCAGCAUCAUCUUCUCUGACAUAAGAUUUCAGAGCCCCCAGAAAGUUUGAAGUAGUAGUGAAGAUCAGCACAGAAACAGAUCCCUGAAAAAUUGCGGUAAGCACGGUGGCCACCAUGUGCAGAGCAUACCACUUGUUGGAGCCACCGGAGGCGGCGCUGCAGCCGGAAACGGCUCCAGCGAUGGUGAGAACGUGGAGGAGAAUGAGAAGGAAGCCGGAGACCGAGGGGACUAGCCGGAGGGAGAGAAGUAGGAAGAUGCAACUAGAGGCUGCACCUAAGAGGAUGUAGUUGCUGAGCAGGAAGAUUUUGUGUGUGUGGUAGUGAGAUUUUGCUACAUUGUUGCAAUCUGGGCUGUUGAUUGAGAGUCCCAUUUGGAAGAAAUUUGAGGAAAGAUUGAUCAGAUUCUUGAUUUUUGUAUCUGGGAUGGAUGAAUUUUGGCUGAGAUUGGAGAGAAAUGAGGAGAAAAGAUGUGUAUUUACACUUUACAGGGCUAAUGAGAUGGAAUGAUGGAGUGGGGAGGGAGGGGACUUGGUUUUUAAAGCUUUGGAGGGAUUUGACCGUUGCAUCAUUUCAACGGCUAGAUUGCAAUAAAAUUUAGGACACUUUUUUUUUUAAGGUAACGGCUAUAUUUUAUGCUUGCUUUGGCUGGAUGUUUGGUGAGAGUGAAAUGGGCAAGCUGGCAGAAGCACUAAAAGCCUACAAAAACAAAUAAAGAAAGAAAAAGAACCUUUUAAAAAGGAAAAUCUGUAGGUAAACUAUGAACGGAUCCAAAGAAAGGGGAAAUUUGCCACAUGCCAAAGAUACUAAAUAAAUUUCAUUUUACUUGUAUUAUUAUUAUUGUAAAAGUAAGAGAUGAUUUUAUCAGUUUUGAUUCUAAAACGCCUCGAAUUUUUUUUAUGAUUUUUAGUAUGUUUUUAUAGAACUAAUCUUCUUCUACAUGAUUACCAGUGAGAUUUUCAUAUUGUAUUUGAACUUCAUGAUUAAAUUUUUUAUUCCUUUUUACUUCUUUACAUUCAUGCUGAAGAAAUUCUUUUGCCAAUCUUUAUUACUAAGAGUUCUUUUGUAAUGUGUUAGGCAAUUAUUAUUUCUUAUGUACAAUAAAUCAAAUGCUCACGACCUAAUAAUGCAUACAGAUGCAAAGUACAAAAGAUUCAAAAUCUUCCAUAUUUCUCCUUUCUUGAGGAAACUCAAAAUCUUCCAUAAUUCAAAAUUCAUGUUGGACUAUUUUCACUUUGCGCUCUCAACUUAUAUACUAUUCUCACUUUGCACCUUUAACUUUAAUUUUGAACACUUUAUGCUCUUAUUAGUUCAUAUAUGUGUCCUGUUUAAGCCUAACUGAUAAUGUGGUAGAAAAAUUAACAAAAUAAAAUUCGACGCAUUGGUUGAAAUUACACUAUCUUGAGCUUCCAUCAUCCAAAAAUUUUUUUUUAUUAUAUAUAUACAGAAUAUUAGCACAUGUUUUUCUCUUUUGUGGAGAUUUUUGCUUAUUGUUGAGAUAUUUGCUUGUUGUGCAGGUUAAAAUAUAUAUUGUUAUCAAUUCAAGAUUACCCUCUUUUUUUUUUUACGAUCUGAAGGGGUAUUCCGGAAUCACCCGAACUAAUCCCCCUAAGCUGGGCAGAGCUCUCCCCGAAGAUACCCAGCAACGGUAGCAAGUGGGUGUCGAACUUGGAAUCUUGCUGUAAAGACAGACGAUCGAAGCCAACCGAGCAACCCAGUAGGGGCAUUCAUGAUUACCCUCUUAACUAAUAACUUUUGCUCUUUGAUACCUUGUUCAAUCUUUUUUUUUUUCACAAUAUUGUGAAAUGAAAUAAACCCAAAUCCAGUGGGUGCAAAGAGCGAGAUGAAAUUCUUGCACUCAUUUGUUGCAUGCUUCUGCAAUCUGAACUUACCUUUUAUUCCUUACAAUUGAUUUUGUCACUAGUUAAAUGUAAAACAAACUCAUAGGUCAUAUCUUGAGUACCGUCCAAAUACUCCCAUUUUGAGCGGUUUUAGUCCUGCAACCGGUUUUAGUCCUGCAACCAUGAAAUAAAAAAAGUCACGAAAUUAUUACCUUGCUUACAAGCUUAAAUAAAUGAUUUUUUUUUCUGAAAUUUCACUUACUAAUAAUGUAAAUUCGACAUCAAUUGUCCCAGCGUCAGGGUCAGCAAUUAUCGUGAAGGCUUCUUUUGAAAGAACAAUAGAUUGUUCACAAUCGACGCAGUGAUCAAUGGUCCUCACAACCACGCUUUCACCAGUACAAGGGGUGGCGGAACCUUGGUUUCUUGGCCCUAUGCACGUAACAUUGUACCUUUUAUCGCACCUAGCUCCACCAUCCCAAUAUUGAUCGCUGAGGGACACAAAUUUAAUGCCGGUUGGAAGUUUAUAGCAAGCAUUUGCUGCAGAUGAAACCCCAUGUUAAAUAUGUUGACAUAUAUAAACACUUAUCUCACACACACACAGAUAUAUAUAUAUAUAUAUAUAUAUAUAUAUAUAUAUAUAUAUAUAUAUAUAUAUAUAUAUAUAUAUAUAUAUUAGAGUCAUCAAAGGCUACCCGAAUUGGAUGCAGAUCAUAAAUUCGAUCCGAUCCAUGUAGUAGUUUUUGUUUUAAUUUUUAAAGUUAAAUCCGCUAAUCCAUACUAAUUUUGUGUAAUUGUUUCUUAUUUCUUAUGUCUAUACUUUCUUUGAAUUAUAUAAGGGUUGUUAAGUUGGGAAGCAUAUUAUCAUAGAAAUUUUGGAUGAAGUAUUGGCCUCUACUUUGUUUUUAAAUGCUAUUGAACCCCUUUAUCCCAAAAAAAAUGGAAAGGAUGAUGUAAAUCUAUCUUAUGACAAACAAAGGAUGAAGUAAUCUAGAGUAAUAACUCUUAUAUUAGUAAAAUAACCCACUCUCAUAAUUUAUAUUUGUGGGGGUAAAAGUUUGGAUGAUCGUGUUUUUUUUCCCCAAAGACGAUAUAUUCUUAUUCUCACGCCCCAUCGGCAAAUCGGACCCUACUACAACAACCAGUUAUAACAUACAAGACACAGAUAAGAAAAAUCUCCAAAAUUUUAGAAAUCAAAGACUUUCUCCCUCAAAUAGAAAAUUCAGUGGAUAAGAAAAUUGCACUUCGAAAUUUGGUAUCUACGCCUAUAUCUUCUAAUCAUUCGUAUACUUUUCAUAUACUUAGAAUAAAAAAUGAAAUAUUCAAUGCAAAUCAAAUAUCUGAUUGGUCCUAUUCAUUUAAAACAGAUACAGGAUUAACGGAUAUCCGCUUUGAAAGAAUUUGGAUAUGAGUCACAUAAUAAAUAAUAAAAUCCAAGCUGGAAACAAUUGAUAAGAUCUAACCCGUAAAUAUCCCUAUUGCUGAUACUGGAAUCAAGAAAUAACAAAAAUUCGAGUUGGAAAAAUGGUACUCACGAUAGUAUCUUGUAAAGUAUACCGCUGUUCCUUUUGUAGCCAAAGAUGGAGAUACAAGACCUGACACAAAGCCAAAAACUACGAGGGCAUGUAAAUUAUUCAUAGUCAUCUCCCUUUUCUUUCUCUUUUUCUUAUGAUGAAUUCUAACGGUAUUCUUAUGAAUGCUAAAACACACAUAUACUGUAUUGGAAUUGACCAUGCCUUUUUAUAGUUCAAAGUUUGAGGACAUCCCAAGGGGGAAAAAGGAAAGCAUUUCCAACUAAUUAAGAAGUAUUUCCACAUAAAAGAAGGGACUUUUAUGGUUUAACCAACUUGGAGAUUACCAUUCAAAGUUUUUGUCAUCUACCAUUCAUUUUCUUGACGAUGUGUGUAAUGGAUGUCCAUAACGCACUCAUUAAAUUAUAUUUCAGAUACCAUAUUUUUUGGAAAUGUGAAAUUAACUAGAUAAAGUAAAUAAAUACAAAAUAGGGUAGGUAAGACUAAAUAGGAAAAAAUAUAUAUAAAUGUAAAGGAGGAUAAUAAUUGUUAAUAUAUGCAUAUACAUGGUAUGUUAGGUGAAUAUUAUAUAUGUUAACGGAUGUCUGAAAACCCCAUUUUUUUAACAUAGAUGAAAAUUUUCUUUUUCGAUUUUUGGAUAAAAAUGUAUUAAUUAUGAAAAUCAAUUUAGUACAAAUUUUGGUUUAUUGCCUCCAAUAAUUAUGGUUUCUAUAAGAUUGCAGGUUCAUUAAGUGUUGGAUAGUUAUUGUGCUGCUUAAUUAGAUAAAAUUGCAUUGUUUGACCACCUAGUAAAGAAAGGCCAAAUUUAUGCUAACAAGUUCCAAAGGGCCAAAUUUAUGGAGGAAUUUAUAAAUUUGUGAUGAAUUUCAAAAAAAUUCUGCAAAUGGGGUGAAUUUGGCGUGGGAUUCUGACCAGGAGUCUUCGCAUUCAGUAAAUACGAGAUUCAGAUAAGCUCAGAUUCAGCAAAUGCAAGCUCACGUGAAAAUUUUAUUAUUAUUAUUGAGCUCACAUUUGCUAAAUGCGAGCUCUCAAAAAAAUUUUAAGGGUUAAUUUUUUUUUCCAAAUAGCAACAGCAUAAAUUACAUAGAUAGGGGCUAGUAUUGAAGUAACUUAAGGGGUUUUUUUUGACUAAUAUGGACGUGAAUGUAUAGAGACAGGAUUAUAGAUGACGCAGAUUGUCUAACCAAAAAUGAGAAGCUAUAAAUUGAAUUGUAUAAAUAAUAGGUUGUAAGGAUCGAAGACAACCUAAGAGGGGGUAAAUUAGGUUGAUUAAAAACCUAAUUUAGUUAUGGAUACUUUUUUCUCAAUAUGAAAUUUACCCUCUUUUCUAAGUGAUCACACAAUGAAUCAAUUAAUGAAUGAACAAAAUCACUUGAGAGAAGUAGAAGAGAUAAGCAAUGUAAAGAUCACAAAUGUAACAAUAAGUAAAUAAAAAGGAAAGAAUUGCAAACUAAUUAACUACCCAACUCCUCUUGAGCUUGUCGAUUAAUUCAAACAAGCUUUGUUAAGUUGAUGAAUUACAAUCACUCUUAUGUACAAAGGUAGGUUCACCUCCUCCUUGCCCCGAACUCCACUCAGUCAAGUUAGGAAGUUUUACUAUCCCUCAGGACAACUCUCACAGAACUACAUUCAUGAAGUAUUCACUCACAAAUGAAAAACUUACAAUGAACCUCACACCACUAAGACUACAAAACUUUCUUGGAGAGUGUUUUCUCACUAAAAUUACUCUAGAUUUUUUGUAUCUUUAGUGUGCAAAAGUUGUUUGAAGAUUCUGACCACACUCUAUUUAUAGGAGAUCAACAAAGUGCAUCAUUAAUGCUUCCAACGGAUAGAAAGUAGCUGAACAGUCAACUAGCCGUUGGAGUAUCGGACGUCCGGUACUCCUGUUUUUUGCGUCCGACAGCAGGCAGUGAGUUUGAAAAAUUUUCUUCAAUUCUAUCGGAUGUCUGGUGCAAGCUCUUUGUGCGUCCGACAGCAAACAAAGAGAUUUGAGAAAUCAUCUUGUUUCUAUCGGACGUUCGGUGGAGACAUAUUCAGCGUCUGAUGGUUUUGUCGACUUUGAAGGAUCCUAUCGGACGUUCGAUGCUUGCGUCUGAUCGAGAUCAGUGAUCUAGGGGGAAUGUCUUAUUUCUUUCGGACGUCCGGUGGUGGAGUUUUUCAUGCGUCCGAAGUUACGCAAUGAUUAUCGGACGUCCGAUCCAAACGUCCGACAGUUUUCAGCAACCUUUGUCCAUUUCAAUUGCACUUGAUUUUUGAAUCUGAUUUGCUUUACAACUGAAAUAUUUUUUGAAGAGAUAUUAGUAUUAUCCAUUGUUUUGUAAAUAUCAAAAGUUAGAGACCAAGGUUAACAUAGGUCUAUGUUAUUUUGCAAUGCCGAGGGGAGGUACCGAUAAGAGCUAAAUUUGUCUUCUUUUUGAAUAUUUUCUAUAUCAGUAUUGAGUCCAUUUGUAAGAUCAAGUGGUAUAAAUUGUCCAUUUUGUGUCACUAACUUGCACCUUAAGCUAAUAAAUGGAAUAGUUGUGAUUGUUGUUAUUUUACAUGCAAAAUCUCUUUUGUUCAUAGGUAAAAUGAUCUAGCUUAAGUGGAAAUGAAAUGAGGAAAGAUUCGUAGUUGGAAAAGUGUGCAUGUGUGUUUGAGCUCAUGGUAUGGUAAACGAGGUGAGUUUGCACUAAAAAAAAGGAUAAAAUGAUCUUGUUUAAAAGAGAGGAUAUUGAUUUGGAGAGUAUUAGUUCAAAGUGUGGAAAAAGAAACUGUGUUUAAAUGUCAUAUCAGUAACCGCAGGAGUAACCGCUCGCAUUUUGCACUUCUUUACCAAAAAUCUUUAUCUUUUUUUUUUUUCAGAAACAUGAAUCUCACAUUUAUCAAAUCAGAAACAUGAAUUUCGCAUUUCAUAAAUGCGAAGAUUCUACUCCUAGAAUCAACCCCUAAAACAACACCUCUUGUAGAAAAACUUUUUUUUUUCAUAACAAAUUAAGAAUUUACUUUAAAUUUAUGCCAGCUAGCUAAACUGAGAAAUAUUGAUAAUCUUAUUAUGACUUAAAAAGUGAAAAACAAACCAUAUUAACUUUAAAGUUAUCCAUGCUCGAAACGGUUGCACACUAAUCUUCUACCAUAUGGCAAUAUUAUGAGAAAUACUGACUAUGUUCCGAGCAAGUAAAACCAGAUAAUGAAUAGUUGUUCUUGCCACCUUUUACCGUUCUAUUUUUUUGGGGCUCCAUAGAUCCUAAAUAAUAUUUUUAAAUGAUUUAUUUGACAAUGAAAAAAGUUAUUUGAUAUAAUGUAUUAAAAUAUGAUCGACUAAUGAGGUGCCUAGGUGUGAGUUUUGUAGAAAAGUGUGGUUAAGUUAGAAAAACUAAAUGCAGGGAUGUAAGAAUUAUAAUUGUGUAUGUUUAUAUGGUAAGUUAGAUAUAAUUUGAAUGUGCUAUCGAGUACUCGUUAGAAAAUGUUUAAAAAUAUUAUAAUAGAUUCAUAAAUACAAUCAUAAGCUUCUUCCAACAAAAAAAUUCAUAACGUAAUGUAUAGUAAAUAAAACUCCAAAUAUUCAUCAAGAUUGAAAAAGAAUGUGAAUUUAGAAUUUCUAAAUUUUGAAACCUCAACCUUAUAUGAUAAUAUUAUUAGACAUUUGUUAUUUCCUUUUCGUGUGAAUACAAUAUUUUAUUAACACUUAGUGGUUGAAUUAAUUAAUUGUCUAAUUACAUAGUAACCAAAUAAACUAUUGCAAACCUUUCUUUCCUUUUUUGAAACAAAAAUCAUAUUUUUUAGGGUAACUUUUUAUACUUAGUGUAUAAUUUUUUUAUAAUAACAAAUUUAGAUCAUAUCAUAUAAUAUGAAUUUGAAAUUCAAUUUAUAUAUAUAUGGCAAAUAUCCAAAUAUAUUAGUGUUGAAAAAUUACAACACUAUCGGUGCACAAAAAUUAAUCCAUUUUUUUUAUUAGUAUUCUUAUUUUUUAAUGACGUAAGCCAAUGAAUUAAUUAUUGGAUCAUUUGAAACCCGAACUUGCAAUAAAGCCCCACCAACUGAAAGGCCUGAGGCCCUGAGCUGACAAUAUUUUUAAUACUCCUAAGGCCCCUAAACUUUUCCCAUUAUUCCAACCAUGUCCUUGGACAGAAUGGACUCCUCAUCGGACUCCCCGUCGACGUCGUUUAGCAACCGCGACUGGUUCUUCCCUUCCCAAUCCUUCAUAAACUCUUCCCACCAUAUCCCAAGAACAUCCAUCCGUAGAUUCUCCUCUCCUUAUCCAAAACGGGCUGCAACGCCGUCGUUUCAGAGCUUUCCGGCCAGUCCUCCGCCGCCGCCGUGGACUCCUUCAAUAUCUAAUUCUUCUCCUCCUCCUCCUCCUCCUCCUCCUCCGCCGGCUAACUACUACGCCAAGUAUGCCGGUGUACGACGCGGUUCUGCUUACCUUAGUCGUCAGUUGCGAAAUCAGAAGUCAACGAGUCAGAACGACGGCGGUGGAAUUGGUGGUCAAGGAAUUAAGAGCAAGUCCGACGACGCCGUUUCUGAGUUCAGGGAGGAUAGUAAAACGACGACGGAGCCGGCGGGUAAGAGGCUGACUGGCUUAUUCGGUGGCCGGUUGAUUGUUCGUUGGCAAACGGCUUUCACCGCUGCAGUGAGUUUUGACUUUAACUCCUGCAGUUCUACGUGGCAUGUUAUAACAAAUCUGUAACAAAAUUUCAAUUUAGUCCCUUAUGUUUUUGAAUAGGUUUAAUUUUAUCCCUUAUGUUUCUUUCUUAACACAUGUAGUCCUUCAUGUAUUCCUGUUUGCUGUGUAAAAUAGUAUGCGGAGCUGACGUGGCACCGGCGUGUUUGGUUGCAGGUAUUAGUAACAGCAUUUUCGUCGUUGGUGCAUAAAAAUUUUGCGUUACACAAUGAGGUUAUUCGUUUACAGGUAAUGUAUGUUUUUCACCACCUUAAUACUAACAAAUUUUGAUCUUUAUGUAGAAUAUUAAUAUUAGUUUAUGUAAUAGUGUUCAAGUUUAGAUGGUAAACAGCAGAAAUCUUGAAAUAUGUAGUGUAAGAAUAGACUUUAAAUUCAUCUAAAGAUUGAAUCUAGCAUAAGGUCAGCUUAAUUUAGUGCACAAGUUUAAUACAAUGUAACCAUUUAACAGCUUAGCAGUGUUUCUCACAUUCUGAUAAUAAUAAUAGCUAAAUAGUUUUGAAAUUGCUAUGGGAUUCAAUUAAAACCAUAACAUGAUGGCUUUGGCUAGCUUGAGAUGCAUUGUCAAGUAUCAACUCUGGUGAAACCUUAAAUAUUUUGGUUAAAUUGUUUCGAAAGAAUUUAGCUUUGAUUUCAUUUACCGCUGGAUUCCACAUUUUGCCUAAGUUGUUACUUGAAUGUAUGGUAGUUCUGUUUAGGCUUCAAUUAAUCAAGCAAUCAACAUUGUUUAAGUCCCAUGUGAUGAUAGAUACUUAUCUUUUGUCGAUUGUGAAAAUUGAUUUUCUUUAAUAUUUUUGUGAAUAAUAAGUUAAUAACUACUCCAUAGAUGAUAUUACUACACCAUAUAUUCCUUUUGAUCACCUUUUGUUUUGUUUUUCUCCUCUUUGUUCCUUUUCCACAAAUUGCAGGAUCAAAUUUUCAAGCUCAAUCACCGGUUACUGGUUUGCAGUUUGCUUGAUUCUAUAGAUGAUAUUGAUUCAACGACACACGACAUAAACCAUCUUUCCAACAAAAGCUUGAAAAACAUAGCUGUAGUCGCCUCACUAGCAUUGCUAUCAAUUCCAUUUCUUUUUCUCAAGUAUGUUGACUAUGUCUCGAAUUCGAGAAGAUUGUCUGACAUUCUCACAGAGAAAGUAUCUUUAAACAAGCAGCUGGCAUACAGGGUUGAUGCUUUUUUAUCUGUUCAUCCCUAUGCUAAGCCACUCGCCUUGUUAGUUGCAACAGUACUACUUAUUUGUCUUGGCGGGUUAGCACUUUUUGGGGUUACAGAUGACAGCUUAGCAGAUUCCCUAUGGUUAUCUUGGACCUAUGUUGCAGACUCAGGCAAUCAUGCUAAUUCCGAGGGCAUUGGUCCGAGGUUAGUGUCAGUGUCCAUUAGCUUUGGUGGGAUGCUCGUAUUUGCAAUGAUGCUGGGACUCGUUUCAGAUGCAAUUUCUGAGAAGUUUGACUCACUGAGAAAAGGAAGAAGUGAAGUUGUAGGGCAAAAUCACACUCUUAUCCUUGGGUGGAGUGACAAGUUGGUAAGCCUUUGCCCUUCAAACCUUAGUUAGAAGUAGUAGAUUUUCUAGUGUUGCUUUUGGAGUACCUGCAAGCAUUUUCUUUAUUUAUUUAUUUUUUCCAUCAGUCUAGUGAUACAUAAUAACCUUGUUUUUAUCCUCCUUUUAAUCUCCAAAAUCUCAUCCAAUUUUAGCCCUGGUAUCAAUAAUAAAUUCUUUUUUGAGAGAUGAAGAUGUAUUUUUCAUUUAUAUUCUGUUUAUCUAGUUCUACAUCAUCUGCUAUCAAACUUGCUUUGCUUUCAAACAAAGAAUGUGUAAAUGCUUGAUUUACAAUAGAAUAAGUUUGUACAUUACUAUGGCUUUUUAUCUAGUAAUUCUUGGAUCGACAUCUCGAAUGCUAGCAAAUGUUCAGAUUCCUUUUUCUUUGAUGUUUGUGCUUAUGUUUAUUCCAUAUUCCUUGAGGGUACUUCCGGGGACUUUGGAUUUAAGGCAAAAGAGAGUAGAAUUGCUGAAAUUGACUGCCGAUAAAUAAGAGCAGAUAAGAAUUGCGUGCUCAGCUUUAACUCUACUUGUACAGCAGAAUUUAUUUUCUGUUCAUGUGAUUGCAAGCAUAAGCCACCAUUGUAAUUCCUGAAAAUACUUCUUUAUGCUCAGGGAUCUCUAUUGAAUCAACUUGCUAUAGCCAAUGAGAGUUUGGGUGGUGGAAUGGUUGUGGUUAUGGCUGAAAGAGACAAAGAAGAGAUGGAGCUUGACAUUGCUAAAAUGGAAUUUGAUUUUAGAGGAACAUCUGUUCUAUGCAGAAGUGGAAGCCCUUUGAUUUUAGCCGACCUGAAAAAGGUAUAUCCUAUUCCUGGGCUUAAUCACAUGAAACAAACAGCUAUCCAAAAUUUUUUUUAUCAUUGUUUUUUGAUCCAUGAAGUAAGUUGGCCUACUUUAUACUUUUUUUCACAAAUGGGUGGCUAUAAUUAGCUGCUCUUCUAUCAUAGUUUGAUCAAAUUAAGGUUUCUUGAUUUUUGAACUGAUUUUCUAAUAUAGCUUGCAUGGAAUUUGCCAGGUAUCUGUCUCUAAGGCUCGUGCAAUUGUCAUUCUUGCCGAAGAUGGAAAUGCCGACCAGGUAGCUUCAUGAAAGAAAUCAUCAUCUUUGAUACUUAAGAAGUGGACUACUAUUGAAGAACUUCUUUCUUUAUUCUUUGUUAUACAGAGUGAUGCUCGUGCCUUGCGGACAGUUCUAAGCUUAACAGGAGUCAAAGAAGGACUAAGGGGACAUAUAGUGGUCGAACUGAGUGAUCUUGAUAAUGAAGUCCUUGUUAAACUUGUAGGUGGAGAUCUAGUUGAAACAGUUGUCGCACAUGAUGUAAUUGGGCGGCUAAUGAUUCAAUGUGCUCGGCAACCAGGCCUUGCGCAGGUCAAAUUUACUUGCUUUCUGCUUUUGAAGUAUUCAUGCAGGCAAGAAACUGAAUGGUCUGCAAUUGGUUUCUUAUCAACUUAAACUACAUGUCUGUAUGGACUUGGUUUGGCAGAUAUGGGAAGACAUUCUUGGCUUUGAGAAUUGUGAGUUCUACAUCAAAAGAUGGCCUCAGUUGGAUGGAAUGCCCUUUGAGGAAGUCUUGAUUUGCUUCCCUGAUGCUAUUCCUUGUGGUGUCAAGGCAGCAUCGUAUGGUGGAAAAAUAAUUUUGAAUCCUGACGACUCCUAUGUUUUGCAAGAAGGAGAUGAAGUUCUUGUGAUUGCAGAAGACGAUGAUACAUAUGCUCCAGCAGCACUGCCUACGGUGCUUCCCUUUUCUUUAUAACAUGCUCAUAAUAUAAAUUGUCCUCAUAUUUUUUAUGUCAAUUCCAUUCAGAAUUUACCCAUGCCUAGUCAAGGUGUUUGCUUCCUCAUGUUAAAAUAACAUUAUGCAAUGCGGAAAAAAUAAAUGGAAAAUCGGGAGCAAUGUGGAAAAAAUAAAUAGAAAAUUGGGAAUGAACAGAUAUGAGAAAACAAAAGAUGGAAUAGACAUGAUUGAUAUCGCCUUUAUUAGUUCACAUACAAAGAUAUGCUUUCCACUUCCUUCAACCAUAAAAGAUGCCAACUUUUGACCUCUUCAAGUAUUGAGCUGUUUGUUGACUCUUCAUACGUUGAUUCAUCAAGCUGAUCAAUAGCAUCUAUGUCUGGUUCUGGUAAACUGGUCAGUCUAACUGCGUUUAUGAUCAGAAUGACUAGAUAGGCAAUUGGAAUAGUGUGAUGUCAUUUUUGGAUCUUGGAAGGGUUAGGAGUAUGUGGUUGUACUUCUGCAAGUGGAAAAGCUACUUGUCUGCAGAUCGAGUAAAUUGCCCAUUGGGCAGUUGCAAUGCUGUAGUUUUACCAUCAUAGAGUUAUUGCUUCUAAAUUUAAGGGUGUGUUCAAAAUAAGCUUGCUCGUUAAGAGCUUACAACAGUGAAACCACAUACUAAAUUUUAAGCACUCUGAAAGGCUUUCCAAUGUUUUCGUCUUGUCUGAUUGGAGAAUUGGAAAGAAAGUGCUUAAUCAUUUCAAAGAAAGAAUAUCAUCCAAUGGUAGGCCACUCAGCAAAGAAAUGCUCUUCUGCUCUUGACAGUAUGGUGAUUCCUGUGAUGGAAUCCAACUAAGUGGGGCAUACCAUAAACAAAACUUACAGACACACAGUUAAUUUGGUUAUUCAGGUCAAAGAAGCACCAUUCAUGCCCAUCACCCGACCAGCAAGAAAGCCACAGAAGAUACUACUUUGUGGAUGGAGGCGGGACAUUGAUGAUAUGAUUGUGGUAAGCUCUAUCAAUCAUAGCCCCUAAUUCUUUUCUCUUUUCACCUGAAUGCUGCAGGUUCAGAGAGGAUAUCUACCCAAGGAUUUUAUUGUUCCAAAAUCUGCAGAGCGCAUACUUUUUUGUGGUUGGCGUCGAGAUAUGGAAGAUAUGAUUAUGGUAUCCUUGUCAGAAGCUACCAUAUGUUUCCACUACUUAUACCAGUGUCUUAUGCAAUUCAAUGCGGCCAAGCUAUUCACAGAACACAUUCUGAUAUGCAUCUGCAUCCCAUUACUCAACAUGGAGCACAACCUUUAAGUUCUUCCAAUUUGGGAUCCUUCUUUGAUUAUAUCAACCUUGGCUUCCUAAGACAUAACAUCUAACAUCUUAUGACUUACAUGCCAUAUUAAAGUCUACACUAUUGUGCUAGGUAUUGGAUGCCUUUUUAGCACCUGAUUCAGAGUUGUGGAUGCUCAAUGAAGUUCCCGAAAAGGAAAGGGAGAAAAAGCUCAUAGAUGGUGGCCUUGAUAGCAGCAGAUUGGUCAAUAUAACGCUGGUUAACCGUGAAGGAAAUGCUGUUGUUCGACGUCACCUUGAAAGCCUGCCAUUAGAAUCUUUUGAUUCUGUAAGUAUUCUGUUUUUGUAAUUGUGUUAUAAGCAUCUCUUUUAUGACUUUAACAGAAAAUUGUCGCCAGUAAACUGGUCUGCCAAAGUCCAAUCAACAUUAAAAAGUGGUACCUUUAGACCAAUUACCAACAUCUUGGUUCAAGUAGUGAUUAUCUGGACAACUACUAGUCUUUGAAUUGUCUAAUCUCCUUCUCUGUACCAAAGCUCCUCCUAUUUAUAUGCAGAUCUUAAUUUUAGCUGAUGAAUCAGUUGAAGAUUCAGCAAUCCAGGCUGAUUCCAGAUCUCUUGCCACAUUGCUUCUUAUCCGUGAUAUUCAGGUACUUUGCUCAGACAUUGUCAUUUAUCAACUUAAUCUCUGGUCUAGUAUUCAUGGAAAGACUUAAGCCCAUAUUUUACUCAUCUUCCUCUCCAUUUGCUACUUCUGAAUAGAUUAAGUCUAGCAUUUUUGGAAACACUUAAACCCAUAUUUGACUCAUCUACCUCUCCAUUUGCUUCUUCUGCAUUUAUACCAUCAAUCAUAGUCAAUCUAUAUUUCUGGUUAAAACAGUACGUCAAGGUUCUAAAGAAUCUAUUGCAUUCGAAUUUCUUAUUUUAAUUUGCUACUGAAUGGUAAAUAUCAUAACAGCACCAUGAUAGGAAAUAGCCAACUUAAAUUAUGCGAGCUUCUCCAGAUAUUGGCUCUUUUUCCUUUCUUUUAUGGUGAAUAAACACCGUUAUUUUCUUUUUCAGGUUUAUGGAGUAGUUUAGACUUUUCAACACUAAUUGCAUCUUCUUAUUCUAUGUGAUGCUGCUUCGUAUACAGUUCUUGCUGCUCACUUCUAUUGCUUUUCUUACCAAAAUUGCAUAGUAGGUUGUACUUGAGCAAGACUAAUUUACUCUUCCUUUUUCUUUUGGGUGGAAGAUAUGCUUAUAAUCACUUCUAUGGUGUCCUAAUGUGCUCUCGAUGGAUAUCUUCUUACAGUCAUUUUUGUGAGAAAAUGUAGCAACUUCGUUAUGUUUGUGAAAGUUAUGGUUAGAAUUGCAAUAUGCACAUCUUGCAUGCUACCUUCUGUAAGAUGUAUACUAGCACAGUCAUCAAGAUUUUAUAUUAAUUUGCAUUUAAGUUGUUUUGUACUUUUUAAUUGCUUUUAUUCGGUCAGCUAUGAAGUUUAUAAAUAUUAUCCCCUCAAUGUGCAUCAGUAUUCUGAAUCCGGGUUUCAGCUCUGAAUAUCAUAUGCAUGCAUGGCUUUCAAGAAAACAUCUUUUGCAGCAGCUUUUGACCAGCUUGAUUAAGUCUUGAGAAGAACCAUAUGCCCUGAAACCUUCCCUUUACUUAAUGAAAGAGUUUAGAGGAUGGAAGAUAUGAUAGUCCUUUGUAAUAGAUCACAACAUUAGGACCCAGAUCCAAAUGCUAUUAUGAUUUACUGCUCAGGUGCUUCUGUAGCUGCACGAUGUUUAAAGCAUUUGAGCCUUUUAGAUUCAGAAAAUCAGGAAGACCUAAUCUUUCUUUUGACUUUGCAGGCGAAACGCCUUCCAUACAGGGAAGCUAUGGUUUCACAAGUUCACAGAAGUAGCUUCUCACAAGGUUCCUGGAUUGGGGAAAUGCAGCAGGCUUCAGAUAAGUCGGUUAUAAUUAGUGAAAUCCUGGACCCCAGGACUAAAAACCUCUUAUCUAUGUCAAAAAUCAGUGACUAUGUCUUAUCAAACGAGCUUGUCAGCAUGGCACUAGCAAUGGUUGCAGAGGAUCGGCAAAUAAAUGAUGUACUGGAGGAGCUUUUUGCGGAAGAGGUACUACUUUCAGCCACUAGAUUAAGUGCAUUUUAAACUAAACAAUCACAGUUUGGUUAGGUAGUUAAGAAGCGAUGUUUCCCUUCAACAACUUUUUAAUGUAGUGAGUUGCAGAGUAUUCCCAACAGAAGCGUGCAAAGAUAACACAUCAAUUUGCUAUUUGCCCUUUUAUGCGCCCUAAAAGAACCAAGUAACAAAAACAAAGACUUGCAUGCUAAAUUUUAUGUAGCUGUAAGUUAUGUAUGAAAAAUCUAUCUAUUAUGAUGUGACAGUGAUAUUUUAAAAAUAAUGAGCCAGUGGAAUGUUGCCUUAUAUUGAAUUUUGAUUAAGUUAAUAGCUCUGUUGCCAGAUGAUUACCUGCGCUGUAGAAUUGCCUGAAGGGUCCUCUACUAGCUUAUUAUCAGAUUAUUCCUUAGCGAUAUCACUUGAGAAAAAACAUCCAACUCUAUGACUAAUUAGUCUGAAUAAACCAAACAGUGCUUUUAAAGUCUUCUUUGGUGGUAAACAUUAAAAAAAAAGGGUAAAAAAUAAAAAAAAACCCUCUAUUGUAAAUUUAAUAUAUAGAAAAGCUAUGUGUAGUUUCAAAACGUACAACUCAACACCUCAUGUUUUGAACUAAAUUGUAAAGGUGACGGAAUCCGUUAAACUUAAUGGAAAUGAUUUAUUGGAACUUAAAAAAAAAAAUUUAUGUCUAAUUUUUAACAAAUACACAUGUUCCAUUCCUUAACCCUCAAUUUUCUUUCUUUAGAGAAUAUAACAAAUGAUUUUAUUGAGCUGUCUUUUGCUUAAUUAUAUCAGGCCAUUUUUGUCAUUUCGUCUAUUUCCAUUAACUUUAACGGAUUCCGUCACCUUUACAAUUUAGUUCAAAGCAUGAGGUCUCGUACUUUUUUAAACCGCGGGAGGUUUUUCUGUAUAUUAGGUUUAUCACGGGAGGUUUUUUUGUUUUUUACCAAAAAAAAAAAGAGGGAACUGCAUUGUUUUUCCUAUAAAUUCUACGGAUUUGUUUCUCUUUACAAAUAUCUCCAAGAUAUCAGGAUACACCGUCUCUUUGACAGGGAAAUGAGAUGCAAAUAAGAGGUGCGGAAUUGUAUCUCCGGGAAGGGGAGGAGCUGAGUUUCUAUGAAGUACUACUUCGAGCACGUCAAAGAAGAGAGAUAGUCAUUGGGUAUCGCGUGGCUAACACAGAGAGAGCUGUAAUCAAUCCCCCAGCCAAAAAUGAGAAGCGAAAAUGGUCAGUAAAUGAUGUUUUUGUGGUAAUUGCUGAGAAAGAAUGAGAAGUCAUCAUAUCCCUGAAACCAGUGUGAAUACUUGGAAUGGGAAGUGAUGGUAAAAGUCCAAAGAGAAUGAGGAAGCAUUAGGUUCUUGAUAUAAUCAGCAAGACAUAUGCCAAGGACAGUCACAAUCCUUUCUUGGUUGACAAGAAUCAAGUUACCUGCAUGCAAUUGCCAGGCUGCAAUUCUUUUACUCAACGUUAUUACUCUGAAAAAAUAAGCUGAAAUCUAUAGAUACGUAUUUGCAGAAUCCCUUUUCUUUUUUUUUUUUCCCAAUUCUCCCACUAUAUUGUGUGGGAUUAGCUCAAUUAACCUAGAUGACAACUGUACGUCUUUUUUUUUUUUUUUUCGCUUAUCACUUUGUAGUAUAUAAGACCAGCUGUAAAUAACAAUGAGAACUAGUGAAAAGGGCACACCCUAUGUAUGUGCAAAUCUAAAAGAACAAUUUUUGAAAAGAAAAAUUAGGAAAAUUUUGGCAGUUAUAGGAGAUUUUUUUUUUUUAUUUUAAUAUGAAUGCGAGAACUAUGUUUUUCUUUCUUUUUUUUUUAUUUGGAGGGGAAGUUGUUGGCCGUUAUUACCUUAUUGGAAGUUUUAUUAGGUUAGAAAAAUAAGGAUGUUGCGUGUAUGUGAUGUAUGUGUGUGUUUAGAUUAGAGAGAUAAUGGUACCAUUUUGCUCUUUAUUUGGAAGGUAAAAUAGGAAUUACAAAAGGUGAUAUUUUUGAAUUAUUGGUUCUGCUUGAUUUGACCAUUUUUUCAAAAAUAAAUAUUUUCAUAUGCAAUACUACGGUAAUAUAUUCCCGAAAACACCUAAUUCAUAUAAAUUUAAAAUAUAACUAGCGAAUAAAAAACUCACCAUAUCUAUCUUCUUCCACCCACCACCACCUCACACCUUCUUCUUCCUGCUUCCUCCUCCUCCCUCCCCUCUCCCUACCACCCCAGACACCCCCCCGGGGCUCCCCUCUAGCAGUCGCGACGAGAAGCUGCCAUCAGAUUGUGACUUUCUGGCAGCGACCUUCUGGUUGCGACAAUCGCGGCCUUUUAGCAAGGAAAAAAUAAACAACGUAUGUCUAUAUUGUGCCAAACCAAUUGAAUCCUCCAAUCCAAAGAGCAUCUGUAGAAUUCAUACUAAAGAGCUGAAUUCUUUCAUGAGCGUAGAGAAUGCGAUCCACAAACAGGUUAGUGCAACAGACAGAAAAGCCAAAACUGUGAUCUGCAUUAGUAUCUCAGUAGUAGACCGAGUCCGUCCAGUAAAAUGAGACAUCACCGUAGUAUUUGAUAGGCAUCUUAUUUGAUAAGCAACAGCACUAAACAGGCCGAUUAAACUCAACACAGACGACCACAAUGUAUGGAAUGCAUUAGAAUCUUUACUUCUAUGCUUCAGAAAGAUCCAUAUUCUCUUUAGGACCUGUCACUUCUGGAGAUGGAUUUUCAGUAUCUUCACUGUCAGAUGGUUGAGAUUCGUGCUUUGCAG